GAAGACGGCCAUAGUAGGUUGGAAACACCUGUUCUCUUCCCGAACACAGAAGUUAAGCUUCCUACGUUACUGGCUCUAGUGUCCGAAAAGAUGCGAACCCAAUAAGUCGUCUUUC
rfam:Candidatus Pacearchaeota archaeon CG1_02_30_18 cg1_0.2_scaffold_3216_c, whole genome shotgun sequence.